UUUGAACUCGCUGUAACACCGAUUGGGAACCCCUGCCCUCCCACAGCUCCGGAGUCAAUAAAAACAAGAACUCCCUCUGUAUCACCAUUUUCUCUCACGCUCGGAAAAUUCGACGCCCUUUCCCGGAGAGAGCAUAGUGCCAUAGACCGCCGCCAGGCACUUUUGCCACUGCCGAGGUGGGUGUGCUCCGUACAUGCAUGUCUGUAUGUAUGUGUGCGUCUGCUCCCUGCUCUGCAAGGGAACGGAUAAGCAAACUGGUCGGUCGUCGCGAAAGCACACACUCCAGUCCGUACUCCACUGAUAGCAGCGAGCGCCCCCCAUUUGUGUCAAGUGUGUGUUCAUAGGCGCAGAAAUCGACGUCGUUUUGUGUCCUGAAAAAUUUCUGCUCUGCCCGUUUGCUGUUUUCUAGUGUUUAGUGCUGCUGCUGUGCGUUCACUCACUAUACUUUUUGGUGGGAAAAUCAAAACAAAAGUAUUUUGCUGCGUGGUGUGAAAAGUGUUGAGCCCAAAGUGUGUUCAGAUUGAAAUUCGCACGUUGCCAAUUUGAGUCGAUAUUUAGAAAGCAAUUUAGAAGUGUAGUUCCAGCACAGAAGAAACCUUCGGAGGGAGUGAAAAUCGGUGAAGGAAUUUGAAAUUCCAGCAGUGCUCUGCCAUCGUUCAGUUUUUCGCAGUAUUAGAAAAUGCGCAGCCAUUGCCAGUGAAAAAGGGAUAUGUGGGAUAAUAAGUUGAAUCGCCAUUGAAACGAAAAGUGUAAAGAGUUAAGUGUACUGUUUGUCAAUUUCCACCAUGGAAAAUUCCGCAUAGAGACAAGAAGAAACGUAAAAAAGUCGGAUCUUGUGAGCCAUCUUGGCAACUAUAAAGGUCGGUGUUAAAUUCGCAGCCAUCAGGCGAUCCUUCAAGAUUACCAUAUUUUGGAAUCUAUUACGGAAGAAAUAAACACUUCGCGAGUUCGGAAAGUGCAUUUUAAGCCAAAUCUAGUGUUCAACGCCCGGUGUAAACGAGUGUUUAGAGUGUCAGCCGAAAAAAUCACCGCACAGUACUCUCCAUUUGCGAGAGUGUCAACAGAUUGUAUAUGAGUGAUUUAAGGUUCAGAAAUUGCCAGCAGCCGUCUUCGUCGUCGUCGUUGUGUAAAUCAGCGAACAACAUUCCCAGUAGCAGUUGCAUUCAAAACCGCCGCCGAGAAUCCAUCUCGGCUUUAGUCCCAGUAGUGAUCGGUGCCGUCGUUGUUGGGGUUAGCGAUUCAGAAGACGAAGAAGAUUCGGGAGCAGUUGCGGCAACUUCCGGAGCAGUGGCAGGAGAAGAACCCGGGUUAUCGGGAGCGUUGGGAGCAGCAUCGGUGGCGGCAGCGACGGCCAAUGCCAGCGGCAGCCCCGAUGUCAAUCGAUUAAUUUACAUCUUCUUCGAAAAGUAUAAAUAAAUCGGCAAUAUUCGCGUUUAAGUGCGACUUUGGCGGCGGCGCGUUGGAAGACGAAGAAGAAGUGGAAGACUAGGAAGAGUGCGCGCGCGCGAUCGGGAAGAAGUGAGUGAAUUAGUGAAGAUUUGCGGUGCGAUUUGUCCGGGGAGCUCUUAAAUUCGAGCCACUUGAAACAUGUAAAAUAUCCCCGAUAGCGCAAACGUUUCAGUAGAGUGUACGAUAUUAACCAGAUGCCAGUUUGUCGGCGGUACCGCGGUUGAGUGUUAUUCCGAUACAGUGAAUUAGGAGCAGCAAAGAUGAGCGGUGUGGCUCCUCUUCCCGUGAAGAAAGGCCGUGCUGCUUCCGUAACGGUUUAAGAUGAAUGCAACUGCAACGGCGGCGUCAGCAUCACCGAGCAACUACGGCCAACUGCAGCACGUGGCUGCAGCGACGAGUUCUCCGUCAGCGGCGACAGCUUCGCAAGUUUCACAAGUGGUGGCAGCAGCUGCAGCGGCUGCCGCAGCAGUCCAAGCCCAGGGCAACGUCACUUCCGCUGUCGGUUCGAAUUCGGCCGUAGGGCUCGCCCCGUCGGAACCAAUGUCCUCCUCGUUGCCCGUGAUUAAGCCGGAGAUUUUUCUGAACGAUCACUCGCUGGUGGCUGUCUAUUGCUUUGUGAAGAAUUUUA